rnacentral:rRNA from 1 species
ACGCUCGACACCUACGGGAUGCAGCAGUGGGGAAUAUUGCACAAUGGGGGAAACCCUGAUGCAGCGACGCCGCGUGAGUGAAGAAGUAUUUCGGUAUGUAAAGCUCUAUCAGCAGGGAAGAAGAUGACGGUACCUGAGUAAGAAGCCCCGGCUAACUACGUGCUAGCAGCCGCGGUAAUCUGAGCGGGCUGGCAAGGC